rnacentral:rRNA from 1 species
CGUGAGACAGUUCGGUCCCUAUCUGCCAUGGGCGUUGGAAGUUUGAGAGGGGCUGCUCCUAGUACGAGAGGACCGGAGUGGACGAACCUCUGGUGUUCCGGUUGUCACGCCAGUGGCAUUGCCGGGUAGCUAUGUUCGGAAGCGAUAACCGCUGAAAGCAUCUAAGCGGGAAGCGCGCCUCAAGAUGAGACUUCCCGGGGCACAAGCCCCCUAAAGGAACCAUGUAGACUACGUGGUUGAUAGGUCAGGUGUGUAAGUACAGCAAUGUAUUGAGCUAACUGAUACUAAUGAUCCGUGCGGCUUGACCAU